GGAGGGGUAGCGAAGUGGCUAAACGCGGCGGACUGGAAAUCCGCUCCCUCAGGGUUCGGCAGGUCGAAUCUGCCCCCCCCCCCCA
rnacentral:tRNA from 1 species